GUCCACGCCGUAAACGAUGGGCACUAGGUGUGGGGGUGGUCGACUCCCUCCGUGCCGAAGCUAACGCAUUAAGUGCCCCGCCUGGGGAGUACGGCCGCAAGGCUAAAACUCAAAGGAAUUGACUGGGGCCCGCACAAGCAGCGGAGCAUGUGGUUUAAUUCGACGCAACGCGAAGAACCUUACCUGGGCUUGACAUGUGGAUGACCGGCGUGGAAACACGUCUUCCCUUCGGGGCAUCUUCACAGGUGGUGCAUGGCUGUCGU
rnacentral:rRNA from 1 species